UUACCUGGCCUUGACAUGGUAGGAACCCUUAAGAGAUUAGGGGUGCUAGCUUGCUAGAACCUACACACAGGUGCUGCACGGCUGUCGUCAGCUCGUGUCGUGAGAUGUUGGUUAAGUCCCGCAACGAGCGCAACCCUCGUCCUUAGUUGCUAACAGUUCGGCUGAGCACUCUAGGGAGACUGCCUUCGCAAAGGAGGAGGAAGGUGAGGACGACGUCAAGUCAUCAUGGCCCUUACGGCCAGGGCUACACACGUGCUACAAUGGGGCGUACAGAGAGCUGCGAUACCGCGAGGUGGAGCCAAUCUCUUAAAGACGUCUCUCAGUUCGGAUUGUUCUCUGCAACUCGGGAACAUGAAGCUGGAAUCACUAGUAAUCGCAGAUCAGCAUGCCGCGGUGAAUUACCGGUUCCCGGGCCUU
rnacentral:rRNA from 1 species